UCGAACGUAAGAUGACUGUAGGUGAAAGCUUACAUCUCUCGGAGCAUUUUACGAGGUGCUGCAUGGUUGUCGUCAGCUCGUGCCGUGAGGUGUCGGGUUAAGUCCCAUAACGAGCGCAACCCUACCUUUAGUUGCCAUCAGGUAAUGCUGGGGACUCUAAAGGAACUGCCUACGCAAGUAGUGAGGAAGGCGGGGAUGACGUCAAAUCAGCACGGCCCUUACGUCCAGGGCUACACACGUGCUACAAUGGCCGAUACAGAGGGCAGCUACCUGGUGACAGGAUGCAAAUCUCCAAAGUCGGUCUCAGUUCGGAUCGGAGUCUGCAACCCGACUCCGUGAAGUUGGAUUCGCUAGUAAUCGCGCAUCAGCCAUGGCGCGGUGAAUACGUUCCCGGGCCUU
rnacentral:rRNA from 1 species